rnacentral:rRNA from 1 species
GACGAACGCUGGCGGCGUGCCUUACACAUGCAAGUCGAACGGCAGCACGGGUGCUUGCACCUGGUGGCGAGUGGCGAACGGGUGAGUAAUAUAUCGGAACGUACCUUAUUGUGGGGGAUAACGCAGCGAAAGCUGUGCUAAUACCGCAUAAUCCCUAAGGGGGAAAGCGGGGGACCGUAAGGCCUCGCGCAAUUAGAGCGGCCGAUACCUGAUUAGCUAGUUGGUGAGGUAAAGGCUCACCAAGGCAACGAUCAGUAGCUGGUCUGAGAGGACGAUCAGCCACACUGGGACUGAGACACGGCCCAGACUCCUACGGGAGGCAGCAGUGGGGAAUUUUGGACAAUGGGGGCAACCCUGAUCCAGCAAUGCCGCGUGAGUGAAGAAGGCCUUCGGGUUGUAAAGCUCUUUUGUCAGGGAAGAAACAGCAGCUCUAACACAGUUUGCGAAUGACGGUACCUGAAGAAUAAGCACCGGCUAACUACGUGCCAGCCGCCGCCGUAA